GUAGGUGGCAAGCGUUGUCCGGAUUUACUGGGCGUAAAGAGCGCGCAGGCGGUCGUUCAAGUCGCGUGUGAAAGCCCCCGGCUCAACUGGGGAGGGUCACGCGAUACUGAUCGACUCGAAAGCAGGAGAGGGUAGUGGAAUUCCCGGUGUAGUGGUGAAAUGCGUAGAUAUCGGGAGGAACACCAGUGGCGAAGGCGACUACCUGGCCUGUUCUUGACGCUGAGGCGCGAAAGCUAGGGGAGCAAACGGGAUUAGAUACCCCGGUAGUCCUAGCCGUAAACGAUGGACACUAGGUGUUGGUGGUAUCAACCCCGCCAGUGCCGAAGCUAACGCAUUAAGUGUCCCGCCUGGGGAGUACGGCCGCAAGGCUA
rnacentral:rRNA from 1 species